UUACACGACCGUACCGCAAACCGACACUGGUGCGCGAGAUGAGUAUUCUAGGCGCUUGAGAGAACUCAGGAGAAGGAACUCGGCAAAUUGACACCGUAACUUCGGAAGAAGGUGUGCCUUUAGUAGGUGAACCAUUUACUUGGGGAGCCCAAUGAGGCUGCAAAAAAUCGGUGGCUGCAACUGUUUAUUAAAAACACAGCACUCUGCUAAGACGAAAGUCGACGUAUAGGGUGUGACGCCUGCCCGGUGCUGGAAGAUUAAAUGAUGGGGUGCAAGCUCUUGAUUGAAGUCCCAGUAAACGGCGGCCGUAACAAUAACGGUCCUAAGGUAGCGAAAUUCCUUGUCGGGUAAGUUCCGACCUGCACGAAUGGCGUAAUGAUGGCCACACUGUCUCCUCCUGAGACUCAGCGAAGUUGAAAUGUUUGUGAUGAUGCAAUCUCCCCGCGGAAAGACGGAAAGACCCCAUGAACCUUUACUGUAGCUUUGUAUUGGACUUUGAACAGAUCUGUGUAGGAUAGGUGGGAGGCUUUGAAGUGUGGUCGCUAGAUCGCAUGGAGCCAACGUUGAAAUACCACCCUGGUGUGUUUGAGGUUCUAACCUAGGUCCAUUAUCUGGAUCGGGGACAGUGCAUGGUAGGCAGUUUGACUGGGGCGGUCUCCUCCCAAAGUGUAACGGAGGAGUUCGAAGGUACGCUAGGUACGGUCGGACAUCGUGCUAAUAGUGCAAUGGCAUAAGCGUGCUUAACUGCGAGACUGACAAGUCGAGCAGAUGCGAAAGCAGGACAUAGUGAUCCGGUGGUUCUGUAUGGAAGGGCCAUCGCUCAACGGAUAAAAGGUACUCUGGGGAUAACAGGCUGAUACCGCCCAAGAGUUCAUAUCGACGGCGGUGUUUGGCACCUCGAUGUCGGCUCAUCUCAUCCUGGGGCUGUAGCCGGUCCCAAGGGUAUGGCUGUUCGCCAUUUAAAGAGGUACGUGAGCUGGGUUUAAAACGUCGUGAGACAGUUUGGUCCCUAUCUUCCGUGGGCGCUGCAGAUUUGAGGAAGCCUGCUCCUAGUACGAGAGGACCGGAGUGGACGAACCUCUGGUGUAUCGGUUGUCACGCCAGUGGCAUUGCCGAGUAGCUAAGUUCGGAAGAGAUAACCGCUGAAAGCAUCUAAGCGGGAAACUCGUUUCAAGAUUAGAUCUGCCGGGGCCUUGAGCCCCCUAAAGAGUCGUUCAAGACCAGGACGUUGAUAGGUCAGGUGUGGAAGCCA
rnacentral:rRNA from 1 species